rnacentral:rRNA from 1 species
CCUACGGGAGGCAGCAGUGGGGAAUAUUGCACAAUGGGGGAAACCCUGAUGCAGCGACGCCGCGUGAGUGAAGAAGUAAUUCGUUAUGUAAAGCUCUAUCAGCAGGGAAGAAAAUGACGGUACCUGAGGAAGAAGCCACGGCUAACUACGUGCCAGCAGCCGCGGCAAUACGUAGGGGGCAAGCGUUAUCCGGAUUUACUGGGUGUAAAGGGAGCGUAGACGGCAGUGCAAGUCUGGAGUGAAAGGCGGGGGCUCAACCCGCGGACUGCUCUGGAAACUGUACGGCUGGAGUGCAGGAGAGGUAAGUGGAAUUCCUAGUGUAGCGGUGAAAUGCGUAGAUAUUAGGAGGAACACCAGUGGCGAAGGCGGCUUACUGGACUGUAACUGACGUUGAGGCUCGAAAGCGUGGGGAGCAAACAGGAUUAGAUACCCCUGUAGUC